rnacentral:lncRNA from 1 species
AUGCCAGCUGCGAGGAUGAACAAAGAUGUUGUAAAUGUAUUGCAGAAACUCACUGUCAUGGAUGUGAAAAAUUUGCUUGGGGUAAACCUCCCUGACCUGAAGCAAGCAGAAAAUCACCCUUCUGUGAUCAGCUGGAUCAAGAGACAGGACCAGUGGGAGCUGGACCAUAUCCUGGGAAUUGGCCUGCAAGGGGGGAUGGUGGAGCCCAGCWCCACGGGGUCUGCCACCCCUGCUGACAUCACCCCCUCAGCCAGUAUCACCACGACUGCUGUCCUCGCCACCACCGCCCUCCCCACCAGCACCACCCCUGGCACCAUUAACACCCACACUACUAUUGGUUCAAGUACCAGCAGCCACAUGCCCCCCACCCCAAGCGCUACCAGCCCGACCAUACCUAACACCACUCCCCCACAUGCUCACACGACCCUCCCCAGCGCUGGUGGGAGUCCCGCUGUCACCUCCAGACUCACAGCCCAACCAGCUCUGACCCCUAGUUCCACCAACCCAUGCUCUAUCCACCAGUCUGCCACCUCAAAGAAGGCCACCUCCCCAACUACCACCCUCCUCACCACCAUCCUUACUGCUGUCAACCCCGGCACCAUCUCUCCCAGCUUCCCUCCAUCCCCUGCUCUCACACGCAAUGCCACCACUACUUCAAGUGCUGUUAUUAACCUGGCUGUUACCACCCAUAAUACCAGCACUCCAACGGUGUCCAUUAACCCUCUGGUACCUGGGGGUACCACCAACCCAGCUCCUACUACCCACAAUACCACCACUCCAAGCACCCACAAUGCUCUUAGCGCCCUUGCCCCUAACAUCACCUCUGCGCCCGUUGUCACCACAGCCACAAACAUCAUUCCCCACAAGCCCACCCCAAUUCCCAGAACCUCCGUCUCCACCCAAAAGAGUGUCAGCUCCUCAACUGUCAAGAAGACAACAUUCACUUGCAAGACUGGUGCCCCUCCAGCACUUCUCAGUCCCUCUUCCACCACGGCCAGCAGCAAGACCACUAAGAAAACACCUAUAGACGUGCCAGAGCCACACAACCCAACACCCGUCGGAUAUAUCAAUCUACAACCUGAGGCUGGUAAGGCACGAACGUGA